GGAGUUGUGGCUCAGUGGUAGAGCGUUUGCCUCACACGUGUGAGAUUCUGGGUUUGAUCCUCAGCACCA
rfam:Ictidomys tridecemlineatus contig101423, whole genome shotgun sequence.